GACGAACGCUGGCGGCGUGCUUAACACAUGCAAGUCGAGCGGUAAGGCUCCUUCGGGAGUACACGAGCGGCGAACGGGUGAGUAACACGUGAGUAAUCUGCCCUUCACUUCGGGAUAACCACCGGAAACGGGGGCUAAUACCGAAUACGACCAGUCUUCGCAUGAGGUGCUGGUGGAAAGUCUUUUCGGUGAAGGAUGUGCUCGCGGCCUAUCAGCUUGUUGGUGGGGUAAUGGCCUAACAAGGCUUCGACGGGUAGCCGGCCUGAGAGGGUGACCGGCCACACUGGGACUGAGACACGGCCCAGACUCCUACGGGAGGCAGCAGUGGGGAAUAUUGGACAAUGGGCGAAAGCCUGAUCCAGCAACGCCGCGUGAGGGAUGACGGCCUUCGGGUUGUAAACCUCUUUCAGUACCGACGAAGCGCCCUGUCGGGUGGUGACGGUAGGUACAGAAGAAGGACCGGCCAACUACGUG
rnacentral:rRNA from 1 species